rnacentral:rRNA from 1 species
UGGGGAAUCUUGGACAAUGGGGGCAACCCUGAUCCAGCCAUGCCGCGUGAGUGAUGAAGGCCUUAGGGUCGUAAAGCUCUUUCGCCUGUGAAGAUAAUGACGGUAGCAGGUAAAGAAACCCCGGCUAACUCCGUGCCAGCAGCCGCGGUAAUACGGAGGGGGUUAGCGUUGUUCGGAAUUACUGGGCGUAAAGCGCACGUAGGCGGACCAGAAAGUUGGGGGUGAAAUCCCGGGGGCUCAACCCCGGAACUGCCUCCAAAACUAUUGGUCUAGAGUUCGAGAGAGGUGAGUGGAAUUCCAAGUGUAGAGGUGAAAUUCGUAGAUAUUUGGAGGAACACCAGUGGCGAAGGCGGCUCACUGGCUCGAUACUGACGCUGAGGUGCGAAAGUGUGGGGAGCAAACAGGAUUAGAUACCCCUGGUAGUCCACACCGUAAAACGAUGAAUGCCAGUCGUCGGGGUAGCAUGCUAUUCGGUGACACACCUAACGGAUU